UACGUAGGAUCCAAGCGUUGUCCGGAUUUACUGGGUGUAAAGGGUGCGCAGGCGGACUUGUUAGUCAGAGGUGAAAUCUCACUGCUCAACAGUGAAAACUGCCUUUGAUACUGCAGGUCUUGAAUCCAGAAGAGAGUUGUGGAAUUCCGAGUGUAGCAGUGAAAAUGUGUAGAUAUUCGGAAAGAACACCAGCGGCGAAGGCAGCAACUUGGUCUGGUAUUGACGCUCAGGCACGAAAGCAUGGGGAUCAAACAG
rnacentral:rRNA from 1 species